rnacentral:rRNA from 1 species
AAACUUAAAGGAAUUGACGGGGGCCCGCACAAGCGGUGGAGCAUGUGGUUUAAUUCGACGCAACGCGAAGAACCUUACCGGGGCUUGACAUCCUACGACAUCUUAGGAGACUAGGUUUUCUAGCAAUAGAACGUAGAGACAGGUGCUGCAUGGCUGUCGUCAGCUCGUGCCGUGAGGUGUUGGGUUAAGUCCCGCAACGAGCGCAACCCUUGUCGUGUGUUGGUCUGCAAUGAUCUCUCACGCGAGACCGCCGGUGACAAGCCGGAGGAAGGUGGGGAUGACGUCAAGUCAGCAUGGCCCUUACGUCCCGGGCUACACACGUGCUACAAUGGGAAGGACAACGAGUCGCGAACCCGCGAGGGCAAGCUAAUCUCCUAAACCUUUCCUCAGUUCGGAUUGGAGGCUGCAACUCGCCUCCAUGAAGUCGGAAUCGCUAGUAACCGCAGAUCAGCUACGCUGCGGUGAAUACGUUCCCGGGCCUUGUACACACCGCCCGUCACGUCACCUGAGUUUAGUGUACCCGAAGCCGCCCGUGUAACCGCAAGGAGCAAGGCGUCUAAGGUAUGCUAGGUAAGGGGGACGAAGUCGUAACAA